GGCGCCGUGGCGAAGUGACCCAACGCGUUCGUCUGCAAAACGAAUAUUCGCGGGUUUAAAUCCCGCCGGCGCCU
rnacentral:tRNA from 5 species